rnacentral:rRNA from 1 species
ACGGAGGAUCCAAGCGUUAUCCGGAAUCAUUGGGUUUAAAGGGUCCGUAGGCGGUCUUAUAAGUCAGUGGUGAAAGCCCAUCGCUCAACGAUGGAACUGCCAUUGAUACUGUAAGACUUGAAUGCUUAGGAAGUAACUAGAAUAUGUAGUGUAGCGGUGAAAUGCUUAGAUAUUACAUGGAAUACCAAUUGCGAAGGCAGGUUACUACUAAGUGAUUGACGCUGAUGGACGAAAGCGUGGGGAGCGAACAGGAUUAGAUACCCUGGUAGUCCACGCCGUAAACGAUGGAUACUAGCUGUUCGGAGCAAUCUGAGUGGCUAAGCGAAAGUGAUAAGUAUCCCACCUGGGGAGUACGCACGCAAGUGUG